AACGAACGCUGGCGGCAUGCCUAACACAUGCAAGUCGAACGAGACCUUCGGGUCUAGUGGCGCACGGGUGCGUAACGCGUUGGAACCUGCCCUUAGGUUCGGAAUAACUCCCCGAAAGGGGUGCUAAUACCGGAUAAUGUCUUCGGACCAAGGAUUUAUCGCCUUUGGAUGGGCCCGCGUUGGAUUAGCUAGUUGGUAGGGUAAAAGCCUACCAAGGCGACGAUCCAUAGCUGGUCUGAGAGGAUGAUCAGCCACACUGGGACUGAGACACGGCCCAGACUCCUACGGGAGGCAGCAGUGGGGAAUAUUGGACAAUGGGCGAAAGCCUGAUCCAGCAAUGCCGCGUGAGUGAUGAAGGCCUUAGGGUUGUAAAGCUCUUUUACCCGGGAUGAUAAUGACAGUACCGGGAGAAUAAGCUCCGGCUAACUCCGUG
rnacentral:rRNA from 1 species